rnacentral:rRNA from 1 species
CCUACGGGCGGCAGCAGUGAGGAAUAUUGGUCAAUGGGCGCGAGCCUGAACCAGCCAAGUAGCGUGAAGGAUGACUGCCCUACGGGUUGUAAACUUCUUUUAUAAAGGAAUAAAGUGAGGCACGUGUGCCUUUUUGUAUGUACUUUAUGAAUACGGAUCGGCUAACUCCGUGCCAGCAGCCGCGGUAAUACGGAGGAUCCGAGCGUUAUCCGGAUUUAUUGGGUUUAAAGGGAGCGUAGAUGGGUGGGUAAGUCAGAUGUGAAAGUUUGCGGCUCAACCGUAAAAUUGCAAUUGAUACUGGGAGGCUUGAGUACAGGUGAGGUAGGCGGAAUUCGUGGUGUAGCGGUGAAAUGCUUAGAUAUCACGAAGAACUCCGAUGGCGAAGGCAGCUUACUAAACAGCCACUGACAUUGAUGCUCGAAAGUGUGGGGAUCAAACAGGAUUAGAUACCCCUGUAGUC